rnacentral:rRNA from 1 species
AACGCUAGCUACAGGCUUAACACAUGCAAGUCGAGGGGCAGCAUUGGAGUAGCAAUACUUCAGAUGGCGACCGGCGCACGGGUGAGUAACACGUAUCCAACCUGCCGCUUACUCGGGGAUAGCCUUUCGAAAGAAAGAUUAAUACCCGAUGGUAUAAAGAGUUCGCAUGUUCUCUUUAUUAAAGAAAUUCGCUGAUAGAUGGGCAUGCGUUCCAUUAGGUAGUUGGUGAGGUAACGGCUCACCAAGCCGACGAUGGAUAGGGGAACUGAGAGGUUGGUCCCCCACACUGGUACUGAGACACGGACCAGACUCCUACGGGAGGCAGCAGUGAGGAAUAUUGGUCAAUGGACGAGAGUCUGAACCAGCCAAGUAGCGUGAAGGAUGACUGCCCUAUGGGUUGUAAACUUCUUUUAUAAGGGAAUAAAGUGAGGGACGUGUCCCUUUUUGUAUGUACCUUAUGAAUAAGGAUCGGCUAACUCCGUGCCAGCAGCCGCGGUAAUACGGAGGAUCCAAGCGUUAUCCGGAUUUAUUGGGUUUAAAGGGAGCGUAGGUUGACAUAUAAGUCAGCUGUGAAAGUUUACGGCUCAACCGUGAAAUUGCAGUUGAUACUGUAUGUCUUGAGUGUACAAGAGGUGGGCGGAAUUCGUGGUGUAGCGGUGAAAUGCUUAGAUAUCACGAAGAACUCCGAUUG